GAAAUGCGUUACCUAGUGUGACAUGCAUUCCCUCGUGAAUCACCGACAUCUUGAACGUAAAUGACGGAGCGGGUUCAUCCCCGCUUCAAUCACGAGCGAGUGCCAAUAUUUCACCACAAAAUUGAGUGUUCGGUCUUUUUCACCCAUAACCAAGGGUAAGAAAAAAUUACCGUCGCUUUAAAUUUAACCGUAUUCCUGGGGGUUAACUAAAACCUUCGGUUUUCUUGAAUUAACUGGAAUUACGGGUAAUCCUACCGUGAAAUUAUUUUUACGGUUAAACUUUUACGGGUAAUUUUACCUGGACAAAUUUGACCUCGAUCGUGAUAGACUACCCGCUGAAUUUAA
rnacentral:misc_RNA from 1 species